rnacentral:rRNA from 1 species
UACAGAGGGUGCGAGCGUUAAUCGGAAUUACUGGGCGUAAAGCGCACGUAGGCGGCUUGGUAUGUCGGGUGUGAAAUCCCCGGGCUCAACCUGGGAACUGCAUCCGAAACUGCCUUGCUCGAGUAUGGGAGAGGGAAGUGGAAUUUCCGGUGUAGCGGUGAAAUGCGUAGAUAUCUGGAGGAACACCGGUGGCGAAGGCGGCAUCCUGGACCAACACUGACGCUGAGGAGCGAAAGCCAGGGGAGCAAACGGG